rnacentral:lncRNA from 10 species
GCUUGCUGUCAAUAAAUAUGUGGGUAAAUCUCUGUUUGGGGCUCUCAGCUCUGAAGGCUGUGAGACCCGAUUUCCCACUCCACACUCUGUAUUUCUGUGUGAGUGUCUUUAAUUCCUCUGGCGCCGCUGGGUUAGGGUCUCCACGACUGAGCUGAUCUCAGUAUCUACCACAUUCUGCUUUAUUCUCUUCUCUAGGGUAAGAAAAAUCACAAUACAUGGGUAUUCAAUAAAAUUCAAUUAAUUUAAGCCUGACUCUUGAGAAUGUGCAAUUGAAGGUUAUGAAUGUGUCACACCUAAGGUGGUGGUAGAAGUCUCUGGCACAUGGAAAAUGCCUGUUUUAACUUUUAGCUAUUUUUUUCAGGUUUUUGUCAUUAGAAUAUUUCUUCUGUUUCUACUGCAAAUAACUAUCAAAAAGGAAAAGAACAACUAGGAUGGCCUCCCCUGUUUAUCAUUGGCCCUACAAUUUUCUAGGAGUAAUAUCUUUUUGGAAUUAUGUAAUGUCCUCUGCUAAUGACAGUGUAUAGAUGCUAUUACAUUUCCUUGGGGGACAAAGUACUGUUGUCUGGAAGCUUUGAGAUUAAUGUAACACAAAGUAAAUAAGGAAGCGUUUUGCAUAUUCUUAGAUUUUUACAUUUUUAUUUUAAAACAGAGAAUUUCAUAUUGAUUAACACCUACUACUAAACAGAAUGAUGCAUUAAUUAAAUGCCUUGUCCUAACUGUUAUAAGCUCUGUUAGAAAAAUAAACAUCUCACCACAAACUACAGUGUCAGCUCUUUAAUAAAUACAUAAAACAGAAGUUAGUAGUCAAUCAGAGUUAUAUGAACAGGUUCAUAGUAUAUUAUGUGAAAGUAUCAUAUUCUCCAAUAUUCUGUAUCAUUUAAGACAAUUUAAGUUACGUAUAAUUCAAAGCCAGAAAUAAUAAGAAAUAUGUUCAGUGAUAAUUUGCUUCUUUCUUAGAGCUAUUUUAUAUUCAAAUAUUUAAUUUAAAAAUAUAUUCUAUAUUAAAUUUAUUUUUACAAACGCAGUAUUCGUUAGGUGAAACAAAAUAAGUUUUUAUGUUACUGAUAAGUUUAAUACAUUUCUAAUUUUUUUCAGAAGUUCAAGAAACCAUAAUGAAGUAGCUAAUGUAAAAUAGUUUAAAAGCUAUGUUAAAUAUACACAAAAUGAAUUUCUAUAUUAAUAUGUGCAAAUGUAUAUUUUCUUAUAAUUUAGAAUUAAAGUACUUUAUACUCAAUAUUCUUAAUAAAAUUUAUGUACCAUACUUGUCAUUGCGUAGACUUCUUAUCAAAAUUUCACAUUUAUCUGUAGGAAAAUGUAAAGUUGGUAAAAAUUGUUUACACAAAUCACACAUUUUCCAUCCUUGACAAUUGCAGUGUUUUUUUUUUAAAUAUUGCUGUAUUAGACAAUUUUAACUGAAGUAGGUUGUAGAGGCUAGAAGAAACCUGAUUAAUAGAGUUAGCUUACAAAGAUAAAUUUUAUGCAGAAAAGUAUUCCAGGUAGAUAAAAGAGUAGUGUUAUUACUCUCAGGUUUACAUUAACAGCUGCCCAGAUAGCUGAACAAUUAUUUCAUAUAAUUCAAAUAAUUUAAAUAUGCAGUUUUAUAACAGUCGUUACAUAAGCUUGAAGUUAAAGUGAUCAGAGCCAAGGGGGAAAAACCCACAAAUGAUAAAGAAGAAUAAAAAGUAAGAGGACUCUAGAAGAAAGUUGUUUUUCACAGCACUGAUUGUUUUUAUCAUAUUUUUCUCCUGCCAUUGAUACAAGACCUGAAAGAGCUUUUGUAAACUCAAGAUAUGCGGGAUCUGAGCUGAUAAUCAGUUAGGCUCCAUGUUGAGUUGUGCGUGACUCAGUUGUCCUUAAAUUUCGCCUUCAUAUUUUGUCAUAAAUGGGCUCUCAAAUCUUUAUAAGAAAACAAAAUUUGCCUAGAUGCAUAAACAUUUAGGUAAAGUUGGAUUAGUGUAAUAUUUAUUCAAGCAUAAUUUUAAACACUGCAUCUGAAGUGCCAACAGUUGCAAGAAAUGUCACAAUUUCAGAGAUGUUAAAUUGAAAAAGUGAUGUCUUGGAAUCAAUGAAAUAUAAAUAUGGAUAUGUAUAAUCAGUUAUACAUAAAAAUUUGCUAUAGAGGAAUUAUAAAAGAAAAGGAAAAUUAUUUGAAAGAAUGUUAGCUAUAUCUCAGUGGUCUGCAUUGCAUAAAAUGGAGUUCUUGAGGUCAAUAUAAAUAAGGAUAGUUGUAAAUUAAAUAUUGAGUCAACAUAACAGAAUGCAAUCUGCACAUGAUUGAGCUCCCAUGUAACUAUAUUUCACUUGAUACUUUUAUGAAAACAUAUAUAUUCCAAAUCCUUCAAAAUGAAAAGAAGCUCAAACAGUUGUGAAAAUUUAGAAUUCUUAGAUUUUAAUGGGUCUGUCUUUGUUCAGGGGCAAAGACUCAAAUGAGCUUUAAGAUCAAUUAAAGAUGUCUGGAAAUGAAGAACUUCAUUAUACCAUUAAAUUCAGUUAUUUUUCACUAUUAGGCUUAUUAAGCUUGAAGCUUUAGGAAAUCUCUUGGGAAGAGUGAGUGGAAAAAACAGGAGUAAGAAAAGGAAGAAAAAGCCUUUGAGUCUAAUCUACUCUACCAGGUUCCAGGAAGAAUAUAAUUCUACAGAGAAAAUUCUUCAUAAUCUAUCAUAAUAUAUUUCAGUGUCUGAUGGCUGACUCUUGUCUUGCAUAAAGAUAUCUUCAGUGGAUAUUAAGUAAAUAUUAAAAAUAUAUUUCAGAUUCAUUCUUUGAAGGAUUGCAUCUCAUGCAUCCACAAAUUUUAAUGUUGAGUUUUGGAAAAUUGCCUCCAGAGAUAUCUACUGUGUUUAAUCUUAGAUUUUUUUUUUAUUUUAAUAAACCAAAGAUAAACUGAACAUUUAAGACAUAAUCAGAUUUUUAGUGAAUUUUUAAGUCCUCCAGAAAAGUCUAUGACUUAAUAAAUAUUAGCAAGUUUCCAAAAAUAUAACAAAUGUUUAUAAAUACGUGUGCACUGCAGUGCAAUGGUGUCCCCAGAGAAAUAAAAUGCAUAACAAAGCAAAUGUUAUGUUGUAGUGUAUGUAUGGCACAUUUAUAAAUCAUUACAUACUUUAGGGCACAAAAAUGCUGCAGUACUAAAAGUGUUGUUCAAGUUCUCAAUUCUGUUAACAAUUUAAAAUUUCAUUAAUUGUGUUUAAUAUCAAUGAAUCUCAAAAGGCUCCUGUGGCCAUAUUAGUUGAAAAUAGACUCUAUUUGCAUACAUUAUUUAACCUAAGAGUACCCUGUGUUCCCUUACCAUUUAAUUAAUUCUAACUAGUCAAAUAUUAAUUCUCAUCUCACAAAUCAUUACACAGGAAGAUAUCAAUUAUUCAAGUAAAAUACAAGCCCUACAAUCUUUAAAAAUUAGCUUUUUAAGUAAAAACAAAAAAGAUAAGCACAAGACUUUGCAAGCAUAACCACAAUCAUCGUCUAACACUGAGUUGCCUACAAGGAAGUUUGUCCCUUCCUAUGGUAACAGCCUUGGUCCACUAUAAAGUUAGUGCAAACAAGUGAGGGUAUAAAAAAAAUAUAAACUCUGGAUUUUUAAGGAUUUCAUUUUGUUAUACUCUUUUUGGAUAAUUCAUUCCAUACGGAAAUUUGUUUAUUGUUCAUAAAUAUCAUAAUGUUCAUUUCAAAAAUUGUCAUCAUCUUAAUGGCUAUCUUACACUUUUUUCUUUUGGAGGGUUGUCAGGCAUCCAUCCAUUUUCCUUUUUAAGAAGAACGUUAUGUGUAUUAGGCUACUAAACCCAAUUUUUACAUUAUUUUUAGUGAUCAAAGGUUUCUUAUACAAGUGACUCACAGUACUGAAUUAUGUCAAUCUCUCAUUUGAGGAAGGAAAUGCAGUUCAAGUUAGCAUUGAAAGUGCUUGGCUGUAGAGGACAUCUAACAGAGCUGCUGUGUUUAUUGGCUCCAGAACAACUUAUUAUAGGUUUUUCAGUUCUCUUUAGGGUAGAAUAUGAGAUGGGGUUAGUCUUCAUCAAAAUGCAGUAUCUAGUACUUUAACUCAAGUGCUGGAAGACAGCAAAUCUUGGAAGUUUAUUAUAAAAAAAAAGAUAUUUCGGAUAGAUUCCUUUGUUGUCAUGGGCAAAACUGUAUAUCCACACAGGACUGUUAGACUCCUAGCCAAUAAAAUCAGACUAAGUCCAUAGGGAUAAGGUAAGAGGAUACAAAACUCCACACUUGUGCACAAUGAAGCUAUUCAGGUUUUGAUGAUACUUUACAGUGUCCCCUAUUAACAUUCAGCUUUUAAAACUAGUAUUCUGAUAAAGUGACAUUGUAUUAUUAGUUUUUUAUGGCAGUAGUAACUUAGCACUUAAUUAAUCCAGUCAUCUGUGACAUACAUAAACUUAUCCUGUAAAAAAGA